GACGAACGCUGGCGGCGUGCUUAACACAUGCAAGUCGAACGGUGAUGCUCCAGCUUGCUGGAGUGGAUCAGUGGCGAACGGGUGAGUAACACGUGAGCAACCUGCCCCAGACUCUGGAAUAAGCGCUGGAAACGGCGUCUAAUACUGGAUACGAAACUGGCCCGCAUGGGCAUGGUUUGGAAAGUUUUUCGGUUUGGGAUGGGCUCGCGGCAUAUCAGCUUGUUGGUGAGGUAAUGGCUCACCAAGGCGACGACGGGUAGCCGGCAUGAGAGGGCGACCGGCCACACUGGGACUGAGACACGGCCCAGACUCCUACGGGAGGCAGCAGUGGGGAAUAUUGCACAAUGGGCGAAAGCCUGAUGCAGCGACGCCGCGUGAGGGAUGACGGCCUUCGGGUUGUAAACCUCUUUCAGCAGGGAAGAAGCGAAAGUGACGGUACCUGCAGAAGAAGCACCGGCUAACUACGUG
rnacentral:rRNA from 1 species